CACCAGGCUACAGCCACUGCCAGCCAUGUCCUGCCUCUGAAUAAAAACCUACUGUUUUUUUUGUUUUGUUUAGCCUUUUUUUAACGCACACGCCAAACGCGCACUCACCGCUGCUCAUUCUCUUUUAUGCACCUUGAAUUCCUCAGCGUUAAAAAAUAAAAAAACGUGUUGUUCUUCUUUUUUUUUUUUUUAAAUUUCACAUAAGGAGGAGAGAAGAUGUCUUCCGGCGCGCAGGAGAACAGGAGGUCUGCUGGCGUUCAGCUGCUGAGCGCGGCGCUGCCGCUGCUGCUGCUCGCGCUCUCCGGUUGUUCAAGCAUGGAUGUGAAUGUUGCCAGUUCCAUCAAUGCACUGAAUGGGACGACAGUCAAAAUCGCCUGCGUAUUUACUUCCUGCUACAAGAUGGAUACUGCCAAGUUUGACAUGAACUGGACCUACCAAGAAACAGCAAACGAUACAGAGGACAUGUUUAUGAAAUUCGUUAGGAAAAAAGGAAUGGUGUCUGUGCCUUCCGAGCGGUUUGGAGACAGGGUCAUGUUUGCAGGGAACCUUGAUAAAAACGACCUGUCAUUCACCCUAUCAGAUGUACAGCUGGAGGACGAGGGGAUUUACAACUGCCAUGUGAGAAACCCCCCAGACCGCAUCAAGGGACACGGUAUCAUACAGCUCAAAGUCGUUACUGAACUUCCCCCUCCGCGAGAUUCAACCAUUGCAGUUGCAAUAGGGGCAUCGGUGGGCGGGGCAUUAGCUCUGCUGAUCCUGUCCAUGGUGGUAGUGAAAUGUCUCCGUCGGCACCGUAAACAGGAACUGAUUUCAGAGGAGAAGAUGGAGGAAGAGGGAAAACUGGAUGCUGAAGGUGUUGCAGAGGAGGGAACCAAACAACCAUAGCUGGGGCAUUUGAUUGAACCAGCGGUCUGUGGAGCCCUUACCCCAACACCUCCUCUGACAUGUGCGACCCCUUCCUGAAGAUCUAUAGUAACCACUGCUCGAAGCAUCCUACACUGAUUCUUCCAUUAUCUCUGCAUGUGUGUGCGUGUGUGCCAGUGUGAUUCUUUGUGUGUGGGGGUUUACUGGAUGUGUCUAUGUCUGCGUGCGUAUUUCUAUAUGUGUGCAUACGAUGUGUUGCCAGAGGAACACUUUUCUGCAACACAUAUGACAUAAUCCUGUUGCUUGAAGUCAAUAUCAGUUGCAUUUGAAAUCUAUCUCAUGAUAAGGAAUGUUCAUAGCAAACUAUAAGGCUAGGGCUGGGCGGUAUGACCUUAAAUCUAUACCACAGUAUAGUUUGUAACAAAAUUGCAGUAUCGUAAUUUCAUUGCCUUCAGAAAAAUUGUAAAAGUAUCAAUGCAGUUCACAGUGGUUUGGGCAGCAGGGCUUCACACUGGAUGGAAGUGAAAAGCUCAUUACACUGCAGAGCAGGAGGUUGCAUGUUUAUCUGGUGUGCGAUGGUUGUUCGCUCCACUGUCUCACAACAUCCGCAGUCCAACUUGUUGGGUUUAACAUACUGUGAGAUCAGCAGUUUUUCAACAUUGCCUUAAAGCCAUGUCUCUCAGCUGCCUGUAUGGGCAAUCAUGUCUUAACAUAGACGCACAGUUAGCUCAAGUGUAAUGUUCCUUCACAUCAGACAAACAACUAAUAUUCAGCAACUCAGCAAAAUGAUGUCUGUAUGCGUCUCAGUGAUGUCUGCUUGUGUCGGAGCUGGAGAACAUUCUCAAACAUUCCCCACAUAAGGUUUCUUUCAUUUUUUUGUUUUUUUUUUCACUUUUUCACGGAAGACAUUUUGACUUAUUAUAGAGGGAAAAGUAGGUUCUGCUAAUCAUCUCGAUGACGGCUCUGUUUUUAAGUGUCCCAGUAAAUUAUGACAGCAGCUGUGACGAUAAUAACUCCCUUUUCGCUAUAAAGUGCAUUAUAUCUACCCUCUCCAUUUUCUUUGAGUGUAAAAUGUAUACUCUCUGUUGUGCCUGCAAAAACUCCUACAAUGGAACAAAAAAUGUAUUGUCUAACUUUGAUAUGAAAAUAAAAUUAUGAAUAUUUUGAUAUUUAUGACCUUGUUUGAUAGCAUGGGGAAAAAUUGACACAAAACUGAAGGCCUAAUGUUUUUAAUUUGAUGAAUAUAACAAGGCUUGUGUGCUUCAUGUUAAGCAUAACUGCAUUUACGAUAAAAUACCUUUGACCAUACUCAAAAGAGUAGGAUGAAAUGGACCUAUGUAGACACUGCAGGGGUUUGUGUCAACUCGCUGUCGGACACAAGAGAGCAAGGAAACCACAGCUGGCAUCAAUAUCAUGAAAAAUUAUAUUGAAACAGUUUCAAAUAUUCAGCGUUGACAAUAUUGAUAUUUCAGUGUUUUUGACAACACUAGUCCAAUUCAUGUGCACUCCUUUUACAAACAAUCUCAAUAAAUUAUGUCACAUUUUUGAAAAUGUGAAAAUUGCACUGCCAUAGCACUGCCUCUGUCAGCAGUAACAGACAAUGAUAAUGAUUAAGAAGAAUAACAAUAGAGUAAACUACUGCAUAUCUGAACCUUUAAAUAAUGUCACACGUCAAACUGUCUGCUGUGAAUGAGGCAGAUUUUAACAGAAAUGUCUUUAUCUUUUGGGCCUUUUGUCUUUACUUAUCCUCCUGCUUUUUUUAACAUAAAACAAUGUGUGUGUAUGUGUGUGUGCACUUGUAAACCUAACUAACAGUGGACUUGAUCGCUCUAACACUUCCACCAACAGUGGACUUGCAAGCCAACAGGGGACAUUUGUAAAGUCCGCUGUAAUAUUCCUCUGUUAGCAAUACUGACGUGUAUGUGUAUGUGUGCUUGUGCAUAUAUUUGUGUAACAGGAUGCAGUAUGCUGAUGUUGUUAUUGGCCGGUAAGUGAUUAUAUCAAAAUAGACCCCUGCAGCAGAUCAUUUAGGACAGCUUAAUAAGAAUUUACGGUUAAAAUUAAUUCUAUACAAAUACAAACAGCAUAGCCAAAUGUUUGAUAUUGCUACUGUAUGUCUUUACUGGUUAUACCGUCCAUCCCUAUGUACGUGCCUGAACAAAGAAGUUCUAGUAGCAGGUCCAGUCCAGAGUUCAAUCUGUCUGUUGUUGUAUUCACAGGGUUAAAAUUCCUCCAACACUGGAUAAGGACCAUGUUGUUGGAGUGAGGAGAAUUGACCACACAACAACAUGUUUAUCAAACUCCAAAACAUAUUAAAGUCAGAUUUAAAGUGAAAAGCUAACAUUGCAACCACAAUCACAUAACAAAUGUUGAUGCCAACUGGUAAUACAAUAUAAUAUAGUAAUAUUAAUAUUCAUGCUGUAGGGAAAGGGGAAAAAUAAGAUGGCAUUAAUCAAAGUAAUAACAUGAACUACUUUAAGGUGUCCAGUGAUUUUCUAGUCUGUUUCUAGUCUUUCAGUCUAAUUUUCUAGUCUGGUGAAGCCAAACGGAACCUGAAUGUGUUUGAGAGUUCAGAAAACCAAGGCAAUGACAAUAUACACAAAGAUUUGUCAACUAAUCUACUGACAAACCACAAGACAAACAACACAAUAAAACUAAACUAUCGAUGCAACAGGAAACAAAUAUAGGCCAAAUGUAGCCUAGGCAGACCUAAAACAUUCACAAUGCAAGCAUCAUACAACAGCUGAGAGUGUUGGUUGGGGGAGUUUUUUAAAUAGUUAAGAACCAUGACCAGUAGCCAAUUUGAGAGGGCCACGAUCCCCUUUGCGUGCAAAAUGACCAAAAUGUAUCCCCUUUGUUGACCUGCCAUCCCUUUCAGGGAAGUAUCCGUUAUACCUUGAGCAUCUGAUGAGGUUAAAAGCUGACUUCAAUAUGUUCCUUCAAUAGCAGAGGUCCAGCAUAAUGUCAUCAGCGCAACUGUUCCUACCCUCUCGUAAACUUUUUAACCCUGAUUUCUUAUUGAAAAAAAUUAACAAAUGUUGUUCAGUUGAGGUGUCAAUAUUUAAAAUUGUGGCACUCUCUGACACUGAAUGACACUAAACACUGUACAAAAAUUACUGGGGUCACACAUAUGUGGCAAUAAGUCAGUAAUAAACAUGCUAUACCAGGGUUUAAAGGUUGUAAACAAACAAGCUAUACAGAACCAAAGUUAAACAGUAAUCCUUACCAUGAUUCAUCAUACAGAAAGUUUAAUUGAAUUUAGAGCCAGUAGUGCAGGAAAUAACCAUCCUAUCCAUAUACCUAAACAACUGAAUAGAUCUCCCAAAAUGACAUAUAUUACCACUGGUGUUGGCAGCCUUGUACCCUCACUAAUUUGUUCUUGGUAAAGGCUUUGCAAGAUAACUACUUGGUUAGGGUAGAAAUAAACAUCAUGGUUUGGAUUGACUUCUCAUUAGCUUCUCAUUUCAGACAAGGCACAAACAACAGUCUCCUAAAUUAACGCCUUAUAACAAAAGUAAAUAUUGGUUGUGAUGACCUGCUUGAAUUGUCAACCUAUAUUGUUGUUUUUAUGAGGAGGACAUGCUCAAAAUAACACCAUAUGAUCCAAAUUAAAAUAUAAGAUGCUUGAACAGUACAGGACUAACAGAGAAGAGCCUCCCGAAAAACGAUUGGUUUUGUUAUGGGCUUACCACGCCAAUGGACGAUUUUGGUGUUACCCACUAAAACAAGUAGAAUUUAUUAUUUUUGCGACUGUAGCAUGUCAGUGUACUAUACUGCCAUGAAUGCAUGUCAAAGAGUGCAUAUCAAAAAGAACAAAAGAACAAAAAAAGAAUGAAAGAAGAAACUUCUGUUAGGUUUUUGGAGAAAAACACAAAAAAGUGAGUCAGUCAAAGCAUGUUUAAGCUUUCACUCUAUGUAUUACUCAGGUGGCACCAUUUAUGAAAUGUCCUAAGGACUGUAUUUUAUUUUGAUUUAAUUUUUAUACAAAUAUUUUGCUUGGAUUUGUAAUUUAUAUUGUCAGACACAUUUGGUUGUACUUGACAAGUUUCAUCUGCCUCCUGUGAAAUAUCAAGAAACAAAUAAACUUUCAAUAUUUCUUAUAAUGGAAAGAAAAGCUUCCAUACAGACUCUUAUAAUCAACAGUUUUUUUAAAUUCUAACUCCAACGAGAAACCUGUUUUAUAGAGAUUUUAAAAGAAACCUGUUGAACGAUUGCACCAUAGUACAAACAAAGUCAGUGUGUAUUUUAAAGCCGAUUCAAUAUUUUAAAAACAGUUUUGAAACUGACAGCCUAGCUUGGUCUCCAAAGUAACGCCUUGACCUCAAAGCGGUAAUUAAAACUGUAGAUAUUAUUUUGCACAUUAUACCAUUUAUACAAAUUCUAAUAUAAUCAGAACUGAGCAUGUUGAUAUAAGGGGAAUAAGGAAAAUGUAUAAAGCUCACUUUAUUAAUUAAGAUGGAAUAUUGAUAUGUGACGUUCAAACAUGGCAUGGUGAUUGUCUGGUUAAAUGGGAAAUGUAUUGUGUACUUAUUUGAUGUUUUUUUUGGUUGGAGCACCUUAGAAAAAAAAAUCUCAAGAUUAUCUAUAUUUAAUGUCCAUUUUACAUGUUAUAGCAUGUGAGCUUUGUUUAUCUCUGAAUGUCCUACGAUGUUUUAAGUAUAUUGUCACAACAGGCCUAAUGUCUGUAAUGCCUCAAGCUGGUUGGCUGUGUUAUCCAGUUGUAGGACUGUGGCAGUGCUUUCAGAUUUAGAGGCCUGGCCAGUCUGAGUUAAAAAAAAAAAAAAAAGAAAAACUGUGUACAGGUCUAUGUUUAGGCCUAUUAUUAUUUUUCUAUUGUUGAUGAUGUUCUGAUUUAUGUUUUCUACCAUUUUGGGUGAUGUAUUGUGUGAAUUCCUGAAACAACAAAAGCACAUUGUUGGCAUCACAAUAAUAUAUUCACAAUUAUGUGUUGCUCUGUGAUGAUCAAUAAAGUUUAUAUGACCAUUCAACAACAAUCAUGCCAUGAAGAACAACAAUGAAAUGGUGAGUUAACAAAUUUAUCAAAAUAGUUGGUGAAAUGCCCAUAAUUGUAGAGUUGUUUGGUUGUGAGAGCCCCUGACCCUGUCACCUUUCCUAGUGCACGGUUGUGUGUGUGGGUGUGUGUGUGCGUGUGUCUGGUCAUGCAUGUUUAAGUUGCAGGGUCUUGACCCAGAUGGUGAUGGCAGGCUAACAUUUAGGGCAAAAUGCAGUUAUUUAGCACGAAGGUUUUUGUUGGCAAUAUGAAUUUACGUACAUAGAUGUACAUUGUAAAUACUAAUUUCUCAAUCAAAAACAAGUAAACAUUAGUACUGUACCAUUUACUAGAAAUAUUUAUCAUUGUGCAUCACUGUUUACCUCUGGCUAUGAGUUUGCCCUGAAUAGUUGCUCUUGUGUCACUUUAAAUGUUAGUGAACACCAAACCAAUGCUUGCACUGUGCUGCAUCUGAACAAGCAGCUGUCAUUACAUUAUGUCUUUUAAAUAAAGAUGAUUUAGGAAAUGUCA